CAUCUAUCUAUCUAUCUCUCCAUCCAUCUAUCUAUCUAUCAACACCAUCCUUGCAACUGCGGGAUGGCCACACAGGUUACUGGAAAAGACGAUUUACACACCGAUUGGCUAGUAAAGCAGAAUGUGAUUUAAUCAUUUCCCACCACCUAGCGCGAAUUCGGAAUUAAUGUGUAAGGUUUCACUGCGCAGCCUGAUAUCUUCCUCCCUUUCGCAAGUCGCCAGGGAAUUCUGCGGAGACGAACUCCCUUGGGAAUGUGAUGGAGACAGUUUCCUGGUUUCACUUGCUGGGAACUCGGGCCGUCUCCCGCCAGGGGUCGCUGCAGUACAAGCAAAAGUCGUCGCUGUUUAGACAUAAUGACACCGCGGUCUGCGGCUUCGCCUGGCUUUUCGCGCCGUCGGGUUCCCCUGUCCCCACCCUGAGCCCGCCGCCUGCGCAGCCAGACGCAGUGAGGCAGUUUUGGAGGCUCAGGUGAGAGGCAGUUACCCAGCAUGCAGAGCGAGACAGAGAGGGAGAAAGGUGUUUAUGCGGUUACUCCCCCGCCCCAGUCCCUCACACCUCCAGCUCCGGCGGCAGCAUCUUUGCCUGUUGUUUAGUCCUCGCCGCUAUAGGAAACGGGCAACGCUUCCGCAGGGGCAAGGGAGCGAGACCAGGGCUGAUCCCCGGCGAGGGGCAGAGACACCGAGAUUCCCUGUGACGAUGGGACCGAUGCUGGGCUCGGCGCUUGUGCUGGUUUUUGUUUCAGGCGCCCCGGGCAGAGCCGAGAUCCGGCAGCCGCGCUCCGCAGAACACUCGGAGGGAGCCGAACUGAACCUCACCUGCUCUCUCGGUUCCAUCACCACCGAAACUAUAUUUUGGUACCGGCAGCUCCCGAACCAAGGGCCCCAGUAUAUAGUCUCGGGAUACCAGGGAAUCUUUAACAGCAUCAACCCAGAGGGAGCUUUGCACGUUCCGGCAGACAGAAAAUCCAGCACAUUGUCCCUGCGCAGGGCGAGGCUGGCAGACGCAGCGGUGUAUUAUUGUGCUCUGAGCGGCACAGUGUGACAGCCAGGGGCGGCCCCCGCGCAAUAAGU